AGUAGGACGAAUAACUUCAAAAACAUCAUUGCCAUUGUUUACCGAAAGUCAUCAUGAUGACUGCAACCUAAAUGAAACUACUGACUCUCCAGUAAACAUUACCACUCAAGUUGAAGAAGUUUUGGUUAUUCCUUUAGCAAAUCAAGAUUUUGAAUGUCCAGGAAUGUUAAGUGAAGAAAAAGUGAUAAGCUUAGAACAACAAAAAAAACACAGUAAAGUUCGAAUGAAUCUCGACAGUCUUGUGGGUGAUAAUGUCAGUACUACCGAAAUCGUUGAAAAGAAAACAAGAUUUUCACUUUCUCAAGAUCAAGAGUCUUUAGG